AUGUUCUACAAGAUGAGACUUGGGUCUUCUCUUGUGCCUGGUGACAACUCUCCAAGUGGCAGUGACAUUAAAGAUGUCACUGUGAGCCACCGAAACGGCAGUGCUCCCUGCCCCAGGACCCCGCCAUCGUGCAGUCUUCACUAGGGUCCUCAUCAUCUUCAUUCCAGUCUGUGGGAUCCUAUGGCCCCUUUGGCAGGAUGCUGACAUACAGCCAGUUCAGCCCCAGCACGUUAGUUGGGCAGCAGUUUGGUACAGUUGGUGUUGCUGGAAGCUCCUUCAACCUCCUUUGGAACAGAAAUAUCAAACAGUGGUGCCUUAUCCCAACACAGUGUGGUUGGUUCUGCCUUUACACAGGACACAAAAUCUAUAAAGACACAGUUAUCUCAAGGUCGUUCAAGCCCUCAAUUAGACACUUUGAGAAAAAGUCCAACCACGGAACAAGCAGCUCAGACCGCCUCAGCCCACUUACUGACCCCAGCGCCUGUUGGGAGAAGGAGCCCUGUGUCAAACAGGCCUUUGCCAUCCACCAGCCAGAAAGCAAUAGAGAAUCAGGAGUACAGGCGAGCUGAAGUGCACAAAGUUCCAAGGCCAGAAAAUGAGCAACUCAGAAAUGAUAGCAAGAGACAAGUAGUUCCAGGUGCUCCUUCAGCUCCAAGGAGAGGGCGUGGGGGUCAUCGAGGUGGCAGGGGAAGAUUUGGUAUUCGGGGAGAUGGCCCUAUGAAAUUUGAGAAAGACUUUGACUUUGAAAGUGCAAAUGCACAAUUUAACAAGGAGGAGAUCGACAGAGAGUUUCAUAAUAAACUUAAAUUAAAAGAAGAUAAACUUGAGAAGCAGGAGAGGCCCGUCAAUGGUGAAGAUAAAGGAGACUCAGGAGUUGACACCCAAAACAGUGAAGGAAAUGCCAAUGAAGAAGAUCCCCUGGGGCCCAACUGCUACUAUGACAAAACUAAGUCCUUCUUUGAUAAUAUCUCUUGUGAUGAUAACAGAGAAAGAAGACCGACCUGGGCUGAAGAAAGAAGGUUAAACUCAGAAACAUUUGGCAUCCCACUCUGUCCAAGUCGUGGGCGUGGUGGCUACAGAGGCAGAGGAGGUCUUGGUUUCCGUGGCAGCAGAGGAGGGCAGUGGCAGAGGAGGGGCCUUCACUGCCCCUUGAGGAGGAUUUCGAGGUGGCUUCAGAGGAAGUCGCGGGGGCAGGGAGUUUGCAGAUUUUGAAUACAGGAAAACCACAGCUUUUGGGCCCUAA